AUUGAACGCUGGCGGCAUGCCUUACACAUGCAAGUCGAACGGCAGCACGGGAGCAAUCCUGGUGGCGAGUGGCGAACGGGUGAGUAAAGUAUCGGAACGUGCCCAGGCGUGGGGGAUAACGUAGCGAAAGUCACGCUAAUACCGCAUACGAUCUAUGGAUGAAAGCGGGGGAUCGCAAGACCUCGCGCGAUUGGAGCGGCCGAUAGCAGAUUAGGUAGUUGGUGGGGUAAAGGCUCACCAAGCCGACGAUCUGUAGCUGGUCUGAGAGGACGACCAGCCACACUGGGACUGAGACACGGCCCAGACUCCUACGGGAGGCAGCAGUGGGGAAUUUUGGACAAUGGCGAAAGCCUGAUCCAGCCAUGCCGCGUGCAGGAUGAAGGCCUUCGGGUUGUAAACUGCUUUUGUACGGAACGAAAAGGUUUGGCCUAAUAAGCUGAGCUCAUGACGGUACCGUAAGAAUAAGCACCGGCUAACUACGUGCCAGCAGCCGCCGUAA
rnacentral:rRNA from 1 species